rnacentral:lncRNA from 1 species
CAAAAAGAACAUUUAAGAGGCUGUGAGAUUUGAGAUUCUCCUAUUGAUGCUUUGAUACAAUUCGUGUGCAUUUUACUCCCGAUGACAAUUUUGCUCACCCCCACCCCACCCUAGUAGAUAUGCCAACAAUACUGGCCAGUAGUAUUAACUGUGCAUUGCAAUUACAGCAUCCAGCCACAAUGCAUAGUUUAUUCAUGAUGCAUCAUUAUAAUUCAAGGAUUUUAUGAGCGAGGACAACAGACUGAGGGCCCCCUGCAAUGAAUGGCAGAGAAGAUUCUGUCAUACGACGUUACUUAUUUAUCUUUUUCUGUGGUAGGAUGAUUUCUUUUACUUAAACUAAGAUGGAAGUUAUCAUUGUUCUUAUUUAAAAGGUUGCCUGGUCUGAGUCCUGUGAGCAUACGUGCCUGUUGUGUGCUUUGGGGGUGGGGGACACACAGCCCCGAGUUCAGGCAUAGCCAUCAGUCUGCCAAGGGAACUGUAAAGAGAAGAAAACAUAGCAACAAAUGAUCUGCCUAUACUGUGUGGUUUCAAGGAUUCCUUAUGCACCCAGAAGCCUUCUGCCUUGAUCCUGUGCACCCCGCAGACCUGCAGCUGCAGAGGCUUUUAGAACAGCCUGUCUUGAAGCCAGUGAGACUUGAAGACUGUGAAAACAGAAAUGGACGUCAGUUUGUAGGUUGGGACCUCACUGGGUGCUGUGGCUGGAUGGCACGUGGAGCAUCCUGAGCUGAACGUGGAAUCUAUCCAACUACUGGAAAGGAGUUCAGUGCUUCAGUGAUAAGACACGAGCAGCCCUACUGCACGAAACUGGCCAGAAGUAACAGCAGGCUCAUGAAUAGUGUUUGAUUAACAAAUCGGUGUAGAUGCACAUUUGAGAAACGUAUCGAUUAGUGAUCACGAG